AGGAGUGUAGCUCAAUUGGUAGAGCACCGGUCUCCAAAACCGGGGGUUGGGGGUUCGAUUCCUCUCGCUCCUGCCA
rnacentral:tRNA from 1 species